UACAGAGGAGCCAAGCGUUGUCCGGAUUGACUGGGCGUAAAGCGCACGCAGGCGGUUGCGCGCGUGGGGUGUGAAAUCUGGCCGCUUAACGGCCAGGCGCCAUCCCAUACGGCGCGACUGGAGUGAUGCAGAGGUCGAUGGAAUUGCCGGUGUAGUGGUGAAAUGCGUAGAGAUCCCCAAGAACACCAGUUGCGAAGGCGGCUGACUGGACAGCAUAUUGACGCUGAGGCUCGAAGGCGUGGGGAGCGAACGGG
rnacentral:rRNA from 1 species